rnacentral:SRP_RNA from 1 species
GAUUUAGCGGGGAAAAUUUUCCGCUGCAUAUAGCGGGGAAAUUUUCCGCUAGAUUUAGCGGGGAACAUUUUUCACCAAACUUAGCGGGGAAAGUUUCCGCUAGACUUAGUGGGGCAAAUUUUCCGCUAAAUCUAACUGAAAUUUUUCCGCUAGAUUUAGCGGGAAAAAUUUGCCGCUAAAUAUAGCGGGAAAAUUUUCCGCUAGUUUUAGCGGGGAGUUUUUUUUACUAAACUUAGCGGGGAAAAUUAUCUGCUAGACUUAGUGGGGCGAAUUUUCCGCUAAAU